GAUGAACGCUGGCGGCGUGCCUAAUACAUGCAAGUCGAACGAAACUUCUUUAUCACCGAGUGCUUGCACUCACCGAUAAAGAGUUGAGUGGCGAACGGGUGAGUAACACGUGGGCAACCUGCCCAAAAGAGGGGGAUAACACUUGGAAACAGGUGCUAAUACCGCAUAACCAUAGUUACCGCAUGGUAACUAUGUAAAAGGUGGCUAUACUACCGCUUUUGGAUGGGCCCGCGGCGCAUUAGCUAGUUGGUAGGGUAAAGGCUUAUCAAGGCAAUGAUGCGUAGCCGAAUUGAGAGGUUGAUCGGCCACAUUGGGACUGAGACACGGCCCAAACUCCUACGGGAGGCAGCAGUAGGGAAUCUUCCACAAUGGGCGAAAGCCUGAUGGAGCAACGCCGCGUGGGUGAAGAAGGUCUUCGGAUCGUAAAACCCUGUUGUUAGAGAAGAAAGUGCGUGAGAGUAACUGUUCACGUUUCGACGGUAUCUAACCAGAAAGCCACGGCUAACUACGUG
rnacentral:rRNA from 1 species